GACGAACGCUGGCGGCGUGCUUAACACAUGCAAGUCGAACGGAAAGGCCCUGCUUUUGUGGGGUGCUCGAGUGGCGAACGGGUGAGUAACACGUGAGUAACCUGCCCUUGACUUUGGGAUAACUUCAGGAAACUGGGGCUAAUACCGGAUAGGAGCUCCUGCUGCAUGGUGGGGGUUGGAAAGUUUCGGCGGUUGGGGAUGGACUCGCGGCUUAUCAGCUUGUUGGUGGGGUAGUGGCUUACCAAGGCUUUGACGGGUAGCCGGCCUGAGAGGGGGACCGGCCACAUUGGGACUGAGAUAAGGCCCAGACUCCUACGGGAGGCAGCAGUGGGGAAGAUUGCACAAUGGGCGGAAGCCUGAUGCAGCAACGCCGCGUGCGGGAUGACGGCCUUCGGGUUGUAAACCGCUUUCGCCUGUGACGAAGCGUGAGUGACGGUAAUGGGUAAAGAAGCACCGGCUAACUACGUG
rnacentral:rRNA from 1 species